GCUUGGAUGGCUCAGUUGGUUAGAGCGCAGGUCUCAUACGCAAGUAUGAUCCUCUCAAUGAGGAACAAUCCUGCUUACGUAAUCCUGAGGUCGUGAGUUCUGUCGGAAAUUUCAAACC